UGGCGAACGGGUGAGUAACGCGUGAGGAACCUGCCUCAAAGAGGGGGACAACAGUUGGAAACGACUGCUAAUACCGCAUAAGCCCACGGGUCGGCAUCGACCUGAGGGAAAAGGAGCAAUCCGCUUUGAGAUGGCCUCGCGUCCGAUUAGCUAGUUGGUGGGGUAAAGGCCUACCAAGGCGACGAUCGGUAGCCGGACUGAGAGGUUGAACGGCCACAUUGGGACUGAGACACGGCCCAG
rnacentral:rRNA from 1 species